AUUGAACGCUGGCGGAAGGAAGAACACAGGCAAGUCGAGCGGAUGAAGGGAGCUUGCUACUGGAUUAAGAGGCGGACGGGUGAGUAAUGCCUAGGAAUCUGAAUGGUAGUGGGGGAUAACGUCCGGAAACGGGCGCUAAUACCGCAUACGUCCUGAGGGAGAAAGUGGGGGAUCUUCGGACCUCACGCUAUCAGAUGAGCCUAGGUCGGAUUAGCUAGUUGGUGGGGUAAAGGCCUACCAAGGCGACGAUCCGUAACUGGUCUGAGAGGAUGAUCAGUCACACUGGAACUGAGACACGGUCCAGACUCCUACGGGAGGCAGCAGUGGGGAAUAUUGGACAAUGGGCGAAAGCCUGAUCCAGCCAUGCCGCGUGUGUGAAGAAGGUCUUCGGAUUGUAAAGCACUUUAAGUUCGGAGGAAGGGCAGUAAGUUAAUACCUUGCUGUCUUGACGUUACCAACAGAAUAAGCACCGGCUAACUUCGUC
rnacentral:rRNA from 1 species